UCUCAGCUAAAUUAAUUCAGU
rnacentral:piRNA from 1 species